rnacentral:lncRNA from 1 species
UAAAAGCCCCUAUUUUAUAGUCAGUGCAUCUUUCUGUGGGUCCCCAGAGAAGGGAAGACUGUGAGAGAAAAGUGAACACAGAGCCGUGCAGAGGAAAGAUGAUACAAGGAGACACAGGGAAAAGACAGCCAUCAACAAGCCAAGGAGUGAGUCUCUCACAGCCCUCAGGAGGAGCUAGCUCUGCCAACACCUUGAUCUUGGACUUCUAGCCUCUAGAACUGUAAGAAAAUAAAUGUCUGUUGUUUAAAUCGCCCCACCCAUGGUAUUUUA